AUUGAACGCUGGCGGCAGGCCUAACACAUGCAAGUCGAACGAGUGGCGGACGGGUGAGAAAUGUCUGGGAAACUGCCUGAUGGAGGGGGAUAACUACUGGAAACGGUAGCUAAUACCGCAAACCAUCGGAUGUGCCCAGAUGGGAUGAGCUAGUAGGUGGGGUAAAGGCUCACCUAGGCGACGAUCCCUAGCUGGUCUGAGAGGAUGACCAGCCACACUGGAACUGAGACACGGUCCAGACUCCUACGGGAGGCAGCAGGGGGGAAUAUGGCACAAUGGGCGCAAGCCUGAUGCAGCCAUGCCGCGUGUAUGAAGAAGGCCUUCGGGUUGUAAAGUACUUUCAGCGGGGAGGCGUUACCCGCAGAAGAAGCACCGGCUAACUCCGUGCCAGCCGCCGCGGUAAUUC
rnacentral:rRNA from 1 species